AGGUGGGCAGGAAAAACAAAUACCACCUCAGAGGAAGCCACGGGCCCAGGGAGAUGCCGGAAACUCCAGGAAAAUGAGUGCCUGACACAUAGGAGGCUUCUGACGGAUGGACAGUGACUGUUUGUGGAGUCCUUCGCAGAAGCCCUGCUCUCACUGAGAACAGAAGAGGCGCAUCCGAGAAAAGCAUGUUGGAGGGAAUGGGGUGCACAGAGGGCCCCAAACCUGUGCCCCACAUGGAGAACAGCUCCCGGCAAGUUGACUGUCUGUCGGCCAGGAAGUGACGCGGGCAUCUGGGAAAGGGACUGAGGGAAGAAGGAAGGAGCCUGCCCUGGGUUCCUGAGGAACCCUUGUUGUUUCUGUCUGCGGAGGCCAGUGCCAAACAUGCCAGCUCAGCACCCUCCCCUAAGGACAACCUGUCCGUCUCUUGCCGCAGGGCAGAUCUCCUGAGCAGUCACCUCUUAGAGCCUCUGAAUUCCUGAACAGUGAAGAUAAAUAUAAAAAACAAAGUAACUUAUAUUCUUUAUAGAGGUUUUAAAAGCACAGACAAGUACAACAGACAGAUAAAAUAACUCGCCACUUAGAAAUAACCACUAUCCCUCCAACAUUUGAUGAUGACAAAUUUCAAACAUACAAAGUAGUUGCAAGAAUCCUAAGAAGUACUCCCACGCACCCACCAUCUAGAUUCUGCAAUUCCCAUUUCCUGUUUGCUUGCUCACAGCUCUACCUAUAUUCCAGGCCCUGACUUAUCCAUUGAUUUAUCUAAUUUUUUGAUGCAUUUCAAAUUAAGUUGAAGACAACAAUAUGCUCUCCCAAAACACUUUAGUAUGAAUAUUAUUAAUUAGAGUGAAAUAACUUUAAAAACUUUUAUUAUGGAAAUAUCAAAUGCACAAAAGUGAAGAGAAUGCUAUAAUUACAUCAGAACACCCAUCACUCAGCCUCACCAAGUGUCAACAUUUUUUCAAUCUUGUUUCACCUAUC